AACCUCUUUCAGCAGGGAAGAAGCGCAAGUGACGGUACCUGCAGAAGAAGCGCCGGCUAACUACGUGCCAGCAGCCGCGGUAAUACGUAGGGCGCAAGCGUUGUCCGGAAUUAUUGGGCGUAAAGAGCUCGUAGGCGGUCUGUCGCGUCUGGUGUGAAAUCCCGAGGCUCAACCUCGGGCUUGCAUCGGGUACGGGCAGACUAGAGUGCGGUAGGGGAGACUGGAAUUCCUGGUGUAGCGGUGGAAUGCGCAGAUAUCAGGAGGAACACCGAUGGCGAAGGCAGGUCUCUGGGCCGCAACUGACGCUGAGGAGCGAAAGCAUGGGGAGCGAACAGGAUUAGAUACCCUGGUAGUCCAUGCCGUAAACGUUGGGCACUAGGUGUGGGGCUCAUUCCACGAGUUCCGUGCCGCAGCUAACGCAUUAAGUGCCCCGCCUGGGGAGUACGGCCGCAAGGCUAAAACUCAAAGGAAUUGACGGGGGCCCGCACAAGCGGCGGAGCAUGCGGAUUAAUUCGAUGCAACGCGAAGAACCUUACCAAGGCUUGACAUGUACGAGAAAGCCCCCGAGAAGGGGUUCUCUUUGGACACUCGUACACAGGUGGUGCAUGGUUGUCGUCAGCUCGUGUCGUGAGAUGUUGGGUUAAGUCCCGCAACGAGCGCAACCCUCGUCCUAUGUUGCCAGCGGGUUAUGCCGGGGACUCAUGGGAGACUGCCGGGGUCAACUCGGAGGAAGGUGGGGAUGACGUCAAAUCAUCAUGCCCCUUAUGUCUUGGGCUUCACGCAUGCUACAAUGGCCGGUACAGAGGGCUGCGAUACCGUAAGGUGGAGCGAAUCCCAAAAAGCCGGUCUCAGUUCGGAUUGGGGUCUGCAACUCGACCCCAUGAAGUCGGAGUCGCUAGUAAUCGCAGAUCAGCAACGCUGCGGUGAAUACGUUCCCGGGCCUUGUACACACCG
rnacentral:rRNA from 1 species